rnacentral:rRNA from 1 species
GACGAACGCUGGCGGCGUGCUUAACACAUGCAAGUCGAACGCUGAAGCUUGGUGCUUGCACUGGGUGGAUGAGUGGCGAACGGGUGAGUAAUACGUGAGUAACCUGCCCUUGACUCUGGGAUAAGCCUGGGAAACUGGGUCUAAUACUGGAUACGACAUGUCACCGCAUGGUGGUGUGUGGAAAGGGUUUUACUGGUCUUGGAUGGGCUCACGGCCUAUCAGCUUGUUGGUGGGGUAAUGGCUCACCAAGGCGACGACGGGUAGCCGGCCUGAGAGGGUGACCGGCCACACUGGGACUGAGACACGGCCCAGACUCCUACGGGAGGCAGCAGUGGGGAAUAUUGCACAAUGGGCGGAAGCCUGAUGCAGCGACGCCGCGUGAGGGAUGACGGCCUUCGGGUUGUAAACCUCUUUCAGCACGGAAGAAGCGAAAGUGACGGUACGUGCAGAAGAAGCGCCGGCUAACUACGUG